AUGGCUCAGAUUGAACGCUGGCGGCAGGCUUAACACCUGCAAGUCGAGCGGAGAUGAGGUGCUUGCACCUUAUCUAAGCGGCGGACGGGUGAGUAAUGCUUAGGAAUCUGCCUAUUAGUGGGGGACAACAUUCCGAAAGGAAUGCUAAUACCGCAUACGCCCUACGGGGGAAAGCAGGGGAUCUUCGGACCUUGCGCUAAUAGAUGAGCCUAAGUCGGAUUAGCUAGUUGGUGGGGUAAAGGCCUACCAAGGCGACGAUCUGUAGCGGGUCUGAGAGGAUGAUCCGCCACACUGGGACUGAGACACGGCCCAGACUCCUACGGGAGGCAGCAGUGGGGAAUAUUGGACAAUGGGCGGAAGCCUGAUCCAGCCAUGCCGCGUGUGUGAAGAAGGCCUUUUGGUUGUAAAGCACUUUAAGCGAGGAGGAGGCUACUUAGAUUAAUACUCUAGGAUAGUGGACGUUACUCGCAGAAUAAGCACCGGCUAACUCUGUGCCAGCAGCCGCGGUAAUACAGAGGGUGCGAGCGUUAAUCGGAUUUACUGGGCGUAAAGCGUGCGUAGGCGGCUGAUUAAGUCGGAUGUGAAAUCCCUGAGCUUAACUUAGGAAUUGCAUUCGAUACUGGUCAGCUAGAGUAUGGGAGAGGAUGGUAGAAUUCCAGGUGUAGCGGUGAAAUGCGUAGAGAUCUGGAGGAAUACCGAUGGCGAAGGCAGCCAUCUGGCCUAAUACUGACGCUGAGGUACGAAAGCAUGGGGAGCAAACAGGAUUAGAUACCCUGGUAGUCCAUGCCGUAAACGAUGUCUACUAGCCGUUGGGGCCUUUGAGGCUUUAGUGGCGCAGCUAACGCGAUAAGUAGACCGCCUGGGGAGUACGGUCGCAAGACUAAAACUCAAAUGAAUUGACGGGGGCCCGCACAAGCGGUGGAGCAUGUGGUUUAAUUCGAUGCAACGCGAAGAACCUUACCUGGCCUUGACAUAGUAAGAACUUUCCAGAGAUGGAUUGGUGCCUUCGGGAACUUACAUACAGGUGCUGCAUGGCUGUCGUCAGCUCGUGUCGUGAGAUGUUGGGUUAAGUCCCGCAACGAGCGCAACCCUUUUCCUUAUUUGCCAGCGAGUAAUGUCGGGAACUUUAAGGAUACUGCCAGUGACAAACUGGAGGAAGGCGGGGACGACGUCAAGUCAUCAUGGCCCUUACGGCCAGGGCUACACACGUGCUACAAUGGUCGGUACAAAGGGUUGCUACCUAGCGAUAGGAUGCUAAUCUCAAAAAGCCGAUCGUAGUCCGGAUUGGAGUCUGCAACUCGACUCCAUGAAGUCGGAAUCGCUAGUAAUCGCGGAUCAGAAUGCCGCGGUGAAUACGUUCCCGGGCCUUGUACACACCGCCCGUCACACCAUGGGAGUUUGUUGCACCAGAAGUAGGUAGUCUAACCGCAAGGAGGACGCUAC
rnacentral:rRNA from 1 species